CCGUCAUGGAGUCAACCAUAAAAGGUGGCUUUGGUUACCACUUACAGAUGGAUUCCGCGGCGCAUUAGGUAGUUGGUGAGGUAACGGCUCACCAAGGCGACGACGCGUAGCCGACCUGAGAGGGUGAUCGGCCACACUGGGACUGAGACACGGCCCAGACUCGUACGGGAGGCAGCAGUAGGGAAUCUUCCGCAAUGGACGAAAGUCUGACGGAGCAACGCCGCGUGAGUGAUGAAGGUUUUCGGAUCGUAAAGCUCUGUUGUUAGGGAAGAACAAGUACCGUUCGAAUAGGGCGGUACCUUGACGGUACCUAACCAGAAAGCCACGGCUAACUACGUGCCAGCAGCCGCGGUAAUACGUAGGUGGCAAGCGUUGUCCGGAAUUAUUGGGCGUAAAGGGCUCGCAGGCGGUUUCUUAAGUCUGAUGUGAAAGCCCCCGGCUCAACCGGGGAGGGUCAUUGGAAACUGGGGAACUUGAGUGCAGAAGAGGAGAGUGGAAUUCCACGUGUAGCGGUGAAAUGCGUAGAGAUGUGGAGGAACACCAGUGGCGAAGGCGACUCUCUGGUCUGUAACUGACGCUGAGGAGCGAAAGCGU
rnacentral:rRNA from 1 species